AACUAGUGUAGUGUAGUGGUCUAGGUGCUGGACUGGAAAUCCAGGAGAUCAGGGUUCAAAUCCCCACUCAGUUA